UACUACAACCAUGCUGCUCCGAACACGUCUGAUCUCGUCUGAUCUCAGAAGCUAUGCAGGGUCAGGCCCGGUUAGUACUUGGAUGGGAGACCAUCUAGGAAUACCAGGUGCUGUAGGCU
ensembl:rRNA 5S_rRNA 5S ribosomal RNA